CCUACGGGAGGCAGCAGUGGGGGAUAUUGGACAAUGGGGGAAACUCUGAUCCAGCGACGCCGCGUGAGUGAAGAAGUAUUUCUGUAUGUAAAGCUCUAUUAACAUGGAAGUAAGAAAUGACGGUACCUGAGUAAGAAGCCCCGGCUAACUACGUGCCAGCAGCCGCGGUAAUACGUAGGGCGCAAGCGUUAUCCGGAAUUACUGGGUGUAAAGGGAGCGUAGACGGUAAUGCAAGUCUGGUGUGAAAGGCGGGGGCCCAACCCCCGGACUGCUCUGGAAACUGGCAAGCUGGAGUGCAGUAGAGGUAAGCGGAAUUCCUGGUGUAGCGGUGAAAUGCGUAGAUAUCAGGAGGAACACCGACGGCGAAGGCGGCUUACUGGACUGUAACUGACGUUGAGGCUCGAAGGCGUGGGGAGCAAACAGGAUUAGAUACCCCGGUAGUC
rnacentral:rRNA from 1 species